rnacentral:rRNA from 1 species
GACGAACGCUGGCGGCGUGCUUAACACAUGCAAGUCGAACGGAAAGGCCCCUUUGGGGGUACUCGAGUGGCGAACGGGUGAGUAACACGUGAGUAACCUGCCCUUGACUUCGGGAUAACUUCGGGAAACUGGGGCUAAUACCGGAUAGGAAUCCUUGCUGCAUGGUGGGGGUUGGAAAGCUUCGGCGGUUUGGAUGGACUCGCGGCUUAUCAGCUUGUUGGUGGGGUAGUGGCUUACCAAGGCUUUGACGGGUAGCCGGCCUGAGAGGGCGACCGGCCACAUUGGGACUGAGAUACGGCCCAGACUCCUACGGGAGGCAGCAGUGGGGAAUAUUGCACAAUGGGCGGAAGCCUGAUGCAGCAACGCCGCGUGCGGGAUGACGGCCUUCGGGUUGUAAACCGCUUUCAGCAGGGGCGAAGCUUGUGGUGACGGUACCUGCAGAAGAAGCACCGGCUAACUACGUG